rnacentral:snRNA from 1 species
GGAUGUGAGGGCAUUUUGGCUACAACAUGUCACCCCAUUGAUCACCAGGGUUGAUUUGGCUGAUCUGGCUGGAUUUGUGGGUGUUCCCUUCCUCUCUCACCACUCCAUGUGCAUCCCUCCCAAAGCUGCGUGGUAGGUCAAAGAGGGCAACCUACCCCAAGUAGAGACAGACUAGUCUUUGGUCAAGAGUAUACAAGUAGCUGUGCUCCCCUGCUAGAACCUCCAAACAAGCUUUCAAGGUCCAGAGUUCUGUGUCCCUAGCCUGCAAUGAUAACCAUCAUAGUUUUCAGAAAGUCUUA